CAGCAGCCGCGGGAAUACGGAGGGUGCAAGCGUUAAUCGGAAUUACUGGGCGUAAAGCGUGCGUAGGCGGUUCGUUAAGUCUGUUGUGAAAGCCCCGGGCUCAACCUGGGAAUGGCAAUGGAUACUGGCGAGCUAGAGUGUGUCAGAGGAUGGUGGAAUUCCCGGUGUAGCGGUGAAAUGCGUAAAGAUCGGGAGGAACAUCAGUGGCGAAGGCGGCCAUCUGGGACAACACUGACGCUGAGGCACGAAAGCGUGGGGAGCAAACAGGAUUAGAUACCCGCGUAGUCCCUGUCUCUUAUAC
rnacentral:rRNA from 1 species